CUCCUCUCAGGGUCGCAUCUGGAGAGUUUCCAGUACUCUACCAGUUUUGGCUACGGGAGGGAGAGUCAAGCAGAGGCAUAUCCAUUCCAUUCUUAGCCGGGGCAGUGGCUAACAAAUGAAGGCAAUCUGCUACAAGU